rnacentral:sRNA from 1 species
CGCCCGUCACACCACGGGAGUUGGUAAUACCAGAAGUGGGUAGCUUAACCGCAAGGAGAGCGCCUCCCAAGGUAGGACUGGCGAUUGGGGUGAAGUCGUAACAAGGUAUCCGUACGGGAACGUGCGGAUGGAUCACCUCCUUUCUAUGGAGAUAAAACAUUUAUUAUUGACUAUUUUAGUUCUAUUUAGUUUUCAGGGAUUGUAUAAAUCUCUGAAAAUGAUUGUUCUUUGAAAACUGAAUAUUAGAUGAAAUGCAAUUUUCUGAUUAUAACAACAUAUAAUUAGAUAAUUAUUACGAAAUUAUUCGUAAUGACAUCAAAACAAUUAACUAAAAUUAAUUGAGUUACAAAUUGCUAGAAAGAUUUUCUAAAAAAAUAGUAAGGGCAUAUGGUGAAUGCCUUGGAAAAUGGAGCCGAAGAAGGACGUGAUUACCUGCGAAAAGUCUGGGGGAGCUGGAAGUAAGCUGCGAUCCCGGAAUGUCCGAAUGGGGAAACCUAACAUGAUUUAUCUCAUGUUAUCUAUAAGUGAAUACAUAGCUUAUAAGAAGGGAACCUAGGGAACUGAAACAUCUUAGUACCUAGAGGAAAAGAAAAUAAUAAUGAUUCUGUUAGUAGUGGCGAGCGAACGCGGAACAGGCCAAACCGCUCUACGGGGCGGGGUUGUAGGACUUUUGUUAGAGUUACAAAGUUAUUGUAUAGUAGAAGCUAUUGGGAAGUAGCGGCAUAGAGGGUGAUACCCCCGUAUACGAAAUGCAAUGACCUCGAGAAAGUAUCCUGAGUACGGCGAAACACGUGAAAUUUUGUCGGAAUCUGCCAAGACCACUUGGUAAGCCUAAAUACUACCAUUUUACCGAUAGUGAACCA